rnacentral:lncRNA from 1 species
GCCAUACCCACGGCAUAUGGAGGUUCCCAGGCUAGGGGUUGAAUCGGAGCUGCAGCUGCUGGCCUACACCACAGCAACAGCAACACCAGAUCUGAGCUAUGUCUGCAACCUUCGCCACAGAUCACGGCAACACUGGAUCCUUAACCCACUGAGCAAGGCCAAGAAUUGAAUAUGAGUUCUCAUGAAUGCUAGUCAGAUUCAUUUCUGCUUAGCCAUGAUGGGAACUCCUAUUUCUCAAAGCAUUUAAACAACAUACCAGUUAAAAAGAAAUCAAUCUUUAUCCAUGGCAUCCAAAUUCGUGAGCAAUGACAGAAAUAAAUUGAUUUUAAGAUAUUUUGCUUUUAUCAGGCAUUGAUGGAUACAGAAAUUGUGAACUCUCUAUUUUACUUGUAAACUAUAUUUUUCUGAGCAUGUUGCUAAAAUGCCCACAUUCCUUUAUUACACAUGCUUUGGGAUCAAGGAUCAGUGAUUAGGAUUUUCUGGGUGAAAGGAAAGAGGCAGUUUGAAGUACAACACUAUAUUGAUUUCUGUUGACAAAAUUCUUUUAAGACCAGAGAACCAGGUUUGUAAGUUGGCUAAAUGGUCAAUUCUUCGAUACCUAUAUAUUUGAAAUACUGGGCUAUAGGGCAGAAGGACACCUGAGGCUUCCAUAAGGUACUGAGAGCAUCUUUAAGUCUGUUUCUCUCUCAUUUAGAAAUGGAAAUUUUUCCUGAGAAUUUUGUGUGAUCAAAUUGUGCAACUACAACUAUUUCCAUAUAAAAUAUUUAAAUACUCAUGGAAAACAUAUCUUUUCUCUUUCAGUAUUUAGAAAUCACAUAUAUUUCUCCCUAAGGGAACUAAAUGAUUAAUUCCAAAAGCAAUUACUCUUCCUUCCCCAUCAGUUCCCAUGGAAAUUACCAACAAAAUAUAAAAAUAAGGAAAAGCUAUAUCAGUACAGAAAACUAAAUAAGUCUACCAUUAAGAGAUUUCAGAAUCUUUGUUACAUCAAGACAGAUGGGGUAAGUUUAAGGGACAGCAUGGAAAAAGCACUUGGGAUUUUACCUAUGUUAUUGCAGUUUGGAGGUAAUUUGGAUAAAACCCCAUUAAUAGCCCUUACACAAAAUGGAAACCACAAAAGCAAGUUAAAGUGGGUAGGACCAUUAAUCCAAAAAUAAGGUAUUUGGGGACUAUAGUUAUGUGGCCAAGCCAGGCAGAGUGCAGACACUUACAAGGCUCAUUGAUGCCACAGGACAGAUUCACAGGAAUGAAACUCUGACUGUGAUUCUCUGACGCUUGACUCUGUCUUUUUUCUCCACCUGAGAGCUCUGACAUUACAAAGUUAUUUCUUCUCUUUUUGUGGACCUGAAGAUUUCAGGAAGGGACCCUGACAGGAUUUUCCCAUCUUCUGGGUUGAUUAUAAAUCAGUAAUCUCAGUAGAAAAGACUUAAAGGGAGAAGUAUAAACAAAUAAAGAACAAUAACCACAUGACUAAAAAGAAGAUUCUGCACUGAAAAAGCUGGAGUUCUGGAAGUCCAGAGAAGGUAGUUAGGCUAGAUGUUUCCAAACGGACCUAAACAAUGCUUGCAGAAUACUGGCAUACCAAAUUUUAUUAUGCUUCACUUUGUUGUAUUUAGCAGAUACUGCAUUUUUACAAAUUGAAGUUUUGUGACAACCCUGUAUGAAGCAAGUCUAAUGGCACCAUCUUUUCUAACAGCAGUUGCUCAUGUUGUGUCUCUGUCACAUUUUGGCCACUUUGUGAUUAUGGCUGAAACAAGACAGUCACAGGUAUACUCUACAACUAUAAAACUUACAGCCAUUCUGUUGAUUACCAGAAGGGCUUCUUUAUCAAUGACAACUUCAGCUUGAGUCCAUUUGCCUUCCAGAUAAAAAUGACUAAGACCACUAGUCAACGAACUGCCCCCACUUCCUGAGAGCACUCAAUUCAAAAUGAACCUUCAUUUUCUCCAUCCCUUUGUAGAAUCACAUAAACCAAGCCCAAAUACCUCAGUAAGCAUAUUCCAAAAUCUUUUCCGGAAAAUCCAUAUGUUGACAAUGAGGCAAAUAAAACCAACAAGUAUGUUUUUGGAAGUCAUGGCUGAUGAGCUUCAACCUCAACUUGAAUCAUCCGAAGCUGUGGUUGAGUAUGAAUUAGUCUGACAAAAAAAAAAAAAAGAGAGACAACACAAAAGAUUACAGGGAGAUCUAUUUCUAACAUUUUUUUUCUUUUUCAAGUAGAUUCAAGAGAAUAUAGAACUCUGAAACUUGAACAAACAAUAUGGUCAAGGGAAAUUUGAGCCAAAGGAAGAUUUCGUAAAGAUAAGAAGUAGAAUUGAUAGCAUUAAAAGGCAGACAGUGACCACUAGAUUGGAGAUUAGAUAAAAUUAGCUGAAUGGAAGAGGACAGUAGAAUGCUGAGUGGACACAAUGAUAUAAAGCAUACAGUGGAUGAGUGAGCAGGGAUUAAUUCUAGCCCAUAUAACUUGUGCCAAGCCACAGGACUUAACAAAGCUGUAUCCACCUACAGGAAGGGAAGCAUUUUUUCUCCCCCAAAGCAUCAUCUGCCUUGAAGGUUAGACUAUGUUAAUGACAGACGUGAAGAAAAGUAUAUUUCAUAGACUAGGUUAGUGCUUCCCAUGCAUUGGGGAACAACACAUGCAGAUGCUCAGAAACUCAACUUCUCAUUCUUGGGGAAGCCCAUAAGACCUGGGGUAGGCUGGAACCCUGGAAAUUCAUCCUCUCCAGCUGAAAGAAACCAUAUCUGUUUACUCCUAUUUACCAUAUAUUUUCUGUGGAAGCACUGGCCUUGAACAAUUCACUUAUUCAGUCAACCAGUAUUUAUCAUGGUGUGUACUUAGUUCUGGAGAACAGAUAAACAAAAGAGCUAAGACUUUAUAAGUUUCCUACAUUUGUCCACAUUAGUUUCUUUUGUAAUGUCCUUCUAAUUGUAUUGCCUCUUCUACUACCAUGCAACUCUAGUCCUCUAUUAUUUUUCUCCUGCUCCUUAAGGAAUUUUGUUAAGUUCUGAACCUGGGCUUUUAAUUUUGCAGUCUUUGUUUUGAAUCCUUAAAAGGAUCACACCAAGACACAUGAAUUAAAACCCACAGCAUUUCUAAAAUUGUUACAGGCAAACCAGUAUCAGCUCUGGCAGCAAAGAAGAGAAACACUGGAUAAUUUCAGCAAAAAGGGAAUAAGUGAAUUGUAAACAUAUUCAGAUUGAUAAAGCUUAGAAAUAGACUUGAGGCAGGAGAAGGCCUGUUUGUCCCCACUUAAAUUUUUAUAGUUGGAUAUAGAGUUCUGCUGUGCCUAUUUUGAGAUUUUCUGAAACAGAAGUUAUUAUGUUCAGAUGUUUUUAGCAAAUCCUAGAUAUAAAUUCAUCAUUUCAAUGCUGCUCUCUCCUUUCCAUUCUGUUCUUACUCUUCUAGCUCCUCUUCAUGGAAUCUACUGCUAUUGUUAAGUUUUCCUGCUUUUAUGAUAUGCUCAGCACAGUGUCUGACACAUAAUAGAUGUUCAAUUAAGGUGAGUUUUGUUUUUUCUUAAACUUUCUGCUUGGGUACACCUUUUCCCCAAGGUUUCUCUCUCCUAUCUUGUCUACCAAAAAUUUUCAACUUCAUUCUGUAUACAUCCUGGGCUGAAAUUUUUCACAGUUUUAGACUUCAUCAUAUUUAUAACUAAAAGGCAAUGCCAACUCCAACUAUGCUUUUAAAAUACUAAAGGCCCAGUGAUUACAUUUUAAAACAAAUAUGUUAGGCCCAUUGUUUGGAAAAGCUAUCAAAUCCAUAGCUCUUUUUCUGGGUCUGAUGUGAUUCUAAUAUUCACCCCUUGUGGGAGAAGUUCCAACUAAUUAGACCCAGAGUCAUUUCCUAUUACAUGUCUCUUCACCUAUCCACUUGUCCUAAUUCUGUAUUAGGAAAGAAGACAAAGGGAAGAGGUAAAAGCCCCUUUCUAAAUUUUUAAACUUUCCAUCUGAAUUCCCUUGAGAACUAGGGCUCAAAAUCAUGUAGACACUGUUUCCUUUAGGAUAAAAGGAGAUACUGUUACCCCAUAUGGUGAAUAAAUCAUAAUAAAUCUAAGACUCAGAACAAGAUGAGCAUUAGCAAGAGACCAGAGAGCAAGUUUGGAGAAUCUGAGGAUUAGCCAAUUGCUCCCUAAUGUCAAGGCAAGAUCCAGUAGAAAUAAUCAUUCUGACAUCUGACAGAAAAAGUCAAAGGUCAGGAUUUAAUGACACCAUAGUCUGAUUUCCCAACCUCAUUGAGCAGGUGCUUAAUAAGGCAUAAUUAUUUGUUAUGUUUAAAGAGCUCAGAGCAAAGUAAGAUGUGGAAUCACAAAAGAGAAUGAUUCUUGGCUCCAUUAUUCUGGUGAGAACACUGUAACCUUUUUGUUAAUGACAAUUAUGUUGAGGUCAUUGCUUUGUCAGAGUUAAUUUUUUUGCCUAAGAAAAAAAUAUGGAAUGCAAACAUAUUAUAUUACACGGAACUACGAAUGUCACUGAUGAGUUUUCAGUGAUUACAAAGGAGAAGAGAGUUUAAGGUCAGCAGAAAGAACACUGGGUGAUUAGAUAAAAAUGCAUUUUACUGAAACUUCUAAGUGAAAGGGUGUGUAAAGCUGGCAUAAAUUUCCACACAACCACCACAAUUUAUUCAUAAAAAAGAAAGAAUGAGAACAAGACUGAGAUUGAGGAGGAUGAUAGGGAGAGAAAAAGAGAUAGUAUAAGAUCUUUCCACCUCAAAUGUAAUUAACACUGACUGUAAGAAGUUUCAAUUAAUGAGAAAUUCUGAAAGCAUAACAAGCAUAAUAGCAUCAGAGAUUUAAAUAUGGCUCAUUAGGCAUGUUUCCUUCUCUUUUAAUUUUUGUCCUUAGAACUUGUUUAUAUCAACAUAUGUAACACUGAAACAAUUAACAAAAAGUGCAGGAGCUCAGGAAUCAGAACUGUCUGGGUUUGAAUCUGAGGUUCCCCACUUAACUGAGGCACCUUUGCUUGAGUGUGUUUCUGACCUUGUGUAUCUCUGUUUCUUUGAAAUAAUAGUACACAAUUGUAGGAAUUUAGAGUGACAAUCUUUGUGAAAUACAAACUUGUUAAAAACUGAACCAACACUCAAGAACACUAAUCUCCAUGUCUCUUGGUAUUUAUACCCUUGUGUAUUUCCCUUCUAUCUUGAAUCUCCUGGCUUCAUGACUCAUUUUAAACAAUAGAAAUAUUUAAACAACAGUAUUUAAACAGCACAGAAGUCACAUGGUAUCAAGUCUUAGAUCUAAUCCUUAAGAAGACCUGGAAGUUUCUGCUUUGAGAAGUCCUGAACCACAGAUGCAUUAAAUCUGGCCACCCUGCUGGAGAGACCACAAGCAGAGGGCGUGUGAAGAGGGAGAGGCCCUGAGGCUUCAGAGAAGGAAAAAGAGGCCCAGCUCAGGCCAGCCUUCCAGCACUCCCAGACAAGGAGCCAAACAGUUUUUUUUAGGACUGCACCCAGAGCAAUUGGAGGUUCCCAGGCUAGGGGUCAAAUUGGAACUACAACUACUGGCUACGUCACAGCCAGAGCAAAUGAGAAUCAGAGCCAUAUCUGUGACCUACACUAUUGCUCACAACAAUGCCAGAUCCACAACCCACUGAGCAAGGCCAGGGGUCAAAUCCUCAUCUUCAUAGGGUUCAUUACCGCUGAGCCAUGAAAGGAAUUCUGAGCCAGCUUGUGAUAGGCCAUUUUGGACAUUCCAGCCCCAGUGUCUCUAAUUAGCGAGAGAGACAUAGACGAAGACCAGAAAAUCACUAUAAAGUGAAUGAAAGCAUUAUGAGAUAUAAAUGGUUGUUAUUUCAAGGUACUAAUUUGUGAGGGGGUUUUGUAAUACAGUAAUUAAUAAAAACAAGCAACAAUGAAAACUUGUUGGGUUGUGCUGUUCAGUGAGGUAGCCACUAGCCACAAGUAGCUAUUGAGCACUUAAAAUGUGGCUAGCAUGGCUGAGAAACUGAGUUUUGAAUUAGAUGUAAUCUAAGUAAUUUAAACUUAAAAGCUGAAACAAUGUAAAAUACUUUUUUUCCCCUACUAAACACGUCUUUGUUUUGUUAGGAGGACAUUUCACUUUGGCGUAUUGCUUGUAAUAUUUUUAUUAGGUUUUUGUCAGGACCUAUGUCAUUUCUAGUAUUACACAAAAUACACUACCAAAAACUGUCAUAUAUAUUGAUAAUUUUAAAUCAAUUACUUACUGAAGUGGUUCGUUUUGGAUAUACUAGGCUACAUAGAAUACUUUUUUUUUUCUUUAUAGUGCCGUACUUGGGGCAUGUGGAAGUUCCCAGGCUAGGGGUUGAAUUGGACCUGCAGCUGCCAG